CUCAGGAGCAGAGCUUCUCUAAGAUCAAUUCAGCCUGCCUUCCCCCCUCCACCUUGUCUGCUACCUCACUGAAAUAAAAUGAAUAGAAAGACUCUACCUGUCUCCAACUCCACCUUAAGAAGGAGGGCCCGUGUAGACGUAGAAAACCGACUUAAACAAAUGCGGGAUGACGCCACAAAUUUAAUUGACUUUCAGAUGACAACAGAGAGGAACCUUGACCAUGGACACAUCAGUGAAGAGCAUUUUCAUGAAAGUCACACUGGAACUGAUAAUCCACACUGUCUAGACACUGAAACCGGUGCUGGUUUUAGUGAGCAAGAUGGCAUGGAGAUAGAUCUAGGCCUGUCUGAGGAUUUUGAGGAUGCUGCUUGUGAUGUUCAGACUCAGACAUCUGAGUCUGAUCAUUUUGAUGAUGAACUCCAAGACUCGGUUUCACUCUCUGACAGUUUAUCCCACUGGGCCAUACAAUUUCGUAUUUCCUUGGUCGCUUUGACAGCAUUAUUGGCC